CCUUGGCACCAUGGACCUCACCACCCUGUCCCCGAGCUGGGUCCGGCUCCGUCACGUCUCACCCCUUCCCUCCCCCCCAUCCCUCUGGAUAAGGCUCGUGCGGCGAAGCAGUGCCCUGGGGUUCCCUGUGACCCUGGGGAAGGGGACCAGCCCUACAGGGUCUGUGGGUUUUUCUCCCCGUGUGCGGAGAUGAGAGAUCAUAGAAAUAAGACAAAGAGAUAGAAGAAAAGGCAGCUGGACCCGGGGGACCACUACCACCAAGAGGCGGAGACCGGUAGUGGCCCCGAAUGCCAGGCUGCGCUGAUAUUUAUUGGAUACAAGACAAAGGGGCAGGGUAAGGAGUGUGAACCAUCUCCAGUGAUAGGUAAGGUCACGUGGGUCAGGUGUCCACUGGACAGGGGGCCUUUCCCUGUUUGGCAGCCGAGGCGGGGAGAGAGAGAGAGAGGAGACACCUUACGCCAUUAUUUCUGCAUAUCAGAAACUUUUAGUACUUUCACUAAGUUUGCUACUGUUAUCUAAAAGGUGGAGCCAGGUGUACAGGAUGGAACAUAAAAGCGGACCAGGAGCGUGACCGCCGAAGCACAGCAUCGCAGGGAGACAGUCAGGCCUCCGGAUAACUGCGGGUGCACCUGACUGAUGUCAGGCCCUCCAUAAGAGCUCGUGCCCUCGGUCUCUUGCGUCAGCACCCAGGGGGCUUGCCGCCCACAUGCACCCCACCCCGUCUUGCCAGAGACUGCAGCCUCUGCGGUGAGCCUCCCACCUGAGCAUCGGGCCCCUGCCGGUAACAGUGUGGAGGUGGUUGGGGGUGCCGAGAGACAGGAGCUGAACGGUGGGCUAGGGUACCCCCCAACUGGGAGAGCCCGCAGCCCUGGCAGUUCUCUGACCCUCAGGAGCCCCCUCUGCUGGUCAGGAGUCCAGGGGGUUCUUCCUGCUGCUGUUUCCCUAACCUGGUGGUGGGAGGCCUGGCACAGCGGCUCCAGGUCACAUGGGCAGGAAAACAGGAUAGAGGAGCAGCCACCAGUGCGGUGCGCUGGGCCUGUGGCCAGACACACUGACCACCCCCAUGUCCAGCGCUGGGGCAGGUCUCUCUGUGCUGUGGGUGGGAGGGUCGCAAUGCAGAAGGGGCUCCUCUCCCGGGUGCCAGUUUGGGGCUACCCCGCAGCACCCACCAGACCUCCCUCUCUGAGCCUGUGGGCACUGGGGGUCCUCAGCCACUGAAGGGAGAGCCAGGGGUCGUGUCAGUUCCCCCUUGCCCAUCCCCAGCACUUUUGGAGGGACCUGGAGAAAGAGGGGAGGGGCCCGGCCACAGGGAGGUGGUGCAGCCCCUGGAGUCUCAGCGCUUGCCCUGCCUGGAGCAAGGGUGCUGGGGCUACUGGUGCCUCCCCAGCCCGUCCUGGCCUCCAGUGAUGUGGUGCCCCCAGAAACACACGCGGAGGACCCCAGGAGGGGCCUGGGGCAGCCAGUGGCCUGGGCCCAGGAUCGCGGUCCACCCCCCACCCCGCCGUGCCUCUCAGCUGCUGGAUGUGAGCCUGUUGCUUCAUGUCGGGGAAGAAGCAGGAGAGAAUUCUCUGAUCCAUCAGAAACAACCAGGGAAGAGCCAGGACAGCCCCCGGGCCUCCUGCCAUCGCCCUAAGGAAGACCCCUCCCCAGCUGUGGAGGGGAGGCCAGGUCCCCGGUCUUGGUGGGUAAACACCAGGGGACAGGGGCGGGCCAGGGAGCCCACACUGGAGAGAACUUUGAAGGGAGCUUUCCAGAGCCCCAAAACCUCCGUCAGCUGAAAACAACUUCAGACAAGUCACUAUAAGGCCGGGAUGAGAUGAGACAGAAUGGCCCUUUCAUAAUUUUGUCUAAACACCGACAAAUCAGGAUCCCAGUGCCCGCCAUGAAAUGCCAAACCUCCCCUUUUCUCUGCUAACAGGAGCUGGGCCUUGCCUGGGGUCAGACUUUCGCCAGCUGGUCAUGGGGGCUCCAGCUUUCCGGCAGCCUCCAACCUGGGGAGACCCCCAACCACCCAGCCACAGCCCAGUCCUACAGAGGGUCUUCCUGAUGCUCCUCCUGUGACCCCAGGGUGCCCAUGGUGUGUGUGGCCACAUGCCCUGAGGUGUAGCCCAACCUUUCAACCACAGGCAGCUCCUGGGGCUCUGGCUGGACAGAGAGGCCAGGGUCAAGGGGCAGGUGAAGCCUGAGGGUGCUCGGGAGUGGCCAGGGAUGGCCCUGAGUAUGGAGGGUCUUCCCCGCUUCCCCGGGUACCCACAGGAGUUACUACAGCCACUUUCCACGUGUCUGGGGCUCUGCCACGUGUGACCAACUCCCCGGGAAAAUGAAGUGGCUACAGGUCUCAAUCAAAUCCUUUAAAGAAAAGUUUCAGGAAAGAGAAACAUUUACCACAAGCAGAGGGCUGAGGAACUAAGAAAUAGCUCUGGCUGAGAAGACGCGUGGGGGCCAAGCUGCAGGUCCAGCGAGAGGGACAACAGUGGGCGAAGAUCCACGAAACCCCUUCCGCGAGACUCCCACUCCUGUGGGAAGAUGGAAGUGGCCCGGGCCGGUGGGAGAGCCCAGCGGGAUGCCAGGGUGGCACUGGGCACUGCAUGGGGAGCCAGGGCCGGUGGGGGGGGGGGGCUCCGGGAGAGAUGAAAGCCGCCUGCCCCAGGCACAGGACUAAGGGCUGCACACAGCAUGGGAAGACCUUCCCUUGAAGACGUUUCUCCCCAUGCCCUCUUCCCCCUGCAGCCCUCCUCUGCUCCCCAAGUUCCAAACACACCAAGCCAAAGCCUGCUUGAGCCUCGAGCCCUUUGCACUUGCUCUGCUGCGGGUUAUAAAGCAAAAUGUAAAACACAACGUGCAUCACGUCCAGUUCACAUAUUUCCACCAUAUUGGGGCGUUUUUAAGGGUCACGCUUGAUUUUUAUCCUAAAGCCAGUGACAGCCACUCAAUCUUUGGAGACUGGGAUGCCAGGGCUGUCGCUUGCAUCUGCGGUUGGAGUUUGCCAGGCAGCAGGAGCCUUGGGCCAACUUUGGGCUCCAGAAGCUGCCACCUCAGGCCUGUGGCUCUCCCGCCGUCUUACCACAGAGUCCCCUGGCGGCCCUGCUGAGUCAAGCCGGCUUCCUGCCUUCCCAGACCUGGCUCGUCCCUGAAACCCAGGAGGGAACCCUGAGACUCUCAGCCCCUCUGCCCAGAGCUGCUCAGGCUCGCUUGGAGCCCUGCACGCAUUUGGCAAAUAUUUACUGUGUGUGCACUGUGUGCCCGGCACUGUCAUUGAACCAGAGGGUAGAACAAUGACCACAACCAGGGACACCUGUUCUCAGGGCUCCAACCUUCUGGGGAGGGAUGGGUACAGUGAAGCGCAUCUGUGAGGUGACAGGUCCAGCAAAGGAACGCAAACAAGGAGACGGAAAGACGGAGCUGCUAGUUUACACGGGCACUGGUGAACAUAAACGUUUGUGUUUAAGGACAAAGAAAAUGGUUGCAGCUGUGCAGGCGUGUGGGGUUCACACUGGGACAGUAACCACGGUUGAAGCCUGGUGCCCCCCAGCUUAGGAGAAAGAAGGAAAUGAGGAGCAGUGUGCAAGCUCUGAUCGAGAUGGCCCAAACCCAAGAAGCCAAAAGUGUAUUGGGGUGCAAGCUACACUUUACACGCUUAUGCAUUCUUCCAUGUGUAAAAAAGUUUGGACACCCAGAGAAUCUGCGUUUAAUGCCUUUCAAAUCGAGGGAACGAAAGGUCCUGCCUCCACGGUCUGGGAGAGCCUCACACACACAACACACAAGGUACAUUUGCAUUCUUGAUGUCAACCCUUCAUUGCCACGAUGCAUCAUUGUGCAAAUCCGAUGCUGGGUCUGAUUUGCCAAGCCCAGAGUCGGGGGUGAGAGUGUGGUGAGCUCAGGUGAGGACACGGGAGGGGUCCAAGGAGCUGGACCCUGGGGGAGGGAGAGAGGUGGGAUCUCGGCUCACUGCAAGCUCCGCCUCCCAGGUUCACGCCAUUCUCCUGCCUCAG